rnacentral:rRNA from 1 species
UGCUGACGACCGGCGCACGGGUGAGUAACGCGUAUGCAACCUGCCCCUGACAGGAGGAUAGCCCUAGGAAACUGGGAUUAAUACUCCAUGUAUUAUCAAGUAGGCAUCUAUUACAUAAUAAAGCUACGGCGGUCAGGGAUGGGCAUGCGUGCCAUUAGUUAGUUGGUGAGGUAACGGCUCACCAAGGCAUCGAUGGCUAGGGGUUCUAAGAGGAUGAUCCCCCACACUGGUACUGAGACACGGACCAGACUCCUACGGGAGGCAGCAGUGAGGAAUAUUGGUCAAUGGGCGCAAGCCUGAACCAGCCAUGCCGCGUGCAGGAUGACUGUUCUAUGAAUUGUAAACUGCUUUUCUGCGGGAAGAAAUGUACCUACGUGUAGGUAUUUGCCGGUACUGCAGGAAUAAGCAUCGGCUAACUCCGUGCCAGCAGCCGCGGUAAUACGGAGGAUGCAAGCGUUAUCCGGAUUCAUUGGGUUUAAAGGGUGCGCAGGCGGUGUAUUAAGUCAGUGGUGAAAUGCUGCGGCUCAACCGUAGACUUGCCAUUGAUACUGGUACACUUGAAUGUAGUUGAGGUAGGCGGAAUGUGUAAUGUAGCGGUGAAAUGCUUAGAUAUUACACAGAACACCGAUUGCGAAGGCAGCUUACUAAACUAUGAUUGACGCUGAGGCACGAAAGCGUGGGGAGCGAACAGGAUUAGAUACCCUGGU